AAGAUAGAAGGGCAUUUCCUGAUCCAGAAAGCUCAUUGGAGAAAGAUGAAGAUGGUCUGCAUAAAUAGUUACUGUGCAGUGUCCUAUGUGCAGAGAAAAUAUACCUCUUACCCUUUAGGUAGAUCAACUGGCUCCACCUGGCUACUUCUCAUCUAUAUACAAGUAGGUCCCAUGGCCCAAUCCCACAGCUCCCAGAGCAGGACCUGCCUCUUCAAUCUCACCAAGCC